rnacentral:rRNA from 1 species
CAUUCACGGAGAGUUUGAUCCUGGCUCAGGACGAACGCUGGCGGCGUGCUUAACACAUGCAAGUCGAACGAUGAAGCCUUUCGGGGUGGAUUAGUGGCGAACGGGUGAGUA